AUAAACAUUUUUACGUUCGUGUCGUUUUUACCAUCGAAGUACUGCCAUAUCCAAAUAUUGGUCGACCUUCUUGAAACAGAUGAAGACAUGAAAUCAUGGCGAAUGUGUCACUUAACAUUUAAAACUAUUGCAAAUUUCGCCCCGACCUUGACGUUAAUAAUCGUAAAAAAUAACUGCGUUUGAUUUCAAUUUAAUCACGCAUUACGCCAAUCAUUUUAUUAUAGUUUGUCUUUCAGAUCGAAGAUAUUUGUACAUGGGAUUGGACGGGAUAAUGGCUUGUAAAAUUCACUGAAAUAUUACCUACUGUACAAUUUGUAAGGUAAAAUUCUUAUUAAAAAGUCAAGCUAAACAUUUUACAAUAAAUGCGCUUUGGAAGAGCCCUCGACGAUUAGAGUAUGGAAACCACAUGGCAUUUUGUACCAGCAAAAGAAAUAAGUUUUCCGUUAUUUAAAGAAUUCUUUUUGUCCUUUAGAAAGCGCUGCAAUCAAAGAUUACAGAAGAACGUGAUUCAAGCACUCUGAUAUGAUGUACAGUCAUUGACAAAAGUAAUAAUCGCCAAAUAGGUAAACCUAGCAGCAUACGCAACCAACGAGAAAAAAGGAGCGGUUUGAGUUACUCAUUACUCGUUCUUUUUUUUUCUCUGGCUGAAUUUUCUUCAACUGACAUCAUCGCACAAAAGCUGUCGUUCUUUCAGUCUAUAAGGCCAUCCGCUCACGGGUGAACAGGUUUGCAACCCGAAUAGCAAACUAGUUGAGCAUACAACCGUUUGAUGACCAUAACUAGUGAUGCAACAGACGUCUGCUUCCGCAUCAAUCGCUAAUAGAUUUGGCUGGAUGCGCGAUUCAUACAACUAUUUUUUCAUCAAAUCUUGCAUUCAUCAGGACCAGGUUCGUUCCAAGGUUUCCAUAUUUCUGAAGAAAGCGGGAUUUGCCAAGCAGAGAUAAGAUCGAUUUGUUACCAGAAGAGAAUAAAACCCACGUCAAUAACUAUAAGUUAUUUGAAUUUUGUUUAUUUGUAUAAAGAAGUAGUCUGUUAAUUCUAGGAAUUUGCAUAAGGAAUUUUAAUAAUUCUAAAGGAAUCGACCCGUGAAAAUUGCUUGCAUGAAACAGAUUUUGUAUCAUAAUGAAUUAUUGAUACGAAUCGAAU